GAUGAACGCUGGCGGCGUGCUUAACACAUGCAAGUCGAACGGAAAGGCUCCUGCUUGCAGGGGUACUCGAGUGGCGAACGGGUGAGUAACACGUGGGUGAUCUGCCCUGCACUUCGGGAUAAGCCUGGGAAACUGGGUCUAAUACCGGAUAGGACGAUGGUUUGGAUGCCAUUGUGGAAAGUUUUUCGGUGUGGGAUGAGCUCGCGGCCUAUCAGCUUGUUGGUGGGGUAAUGGCCUACCAAGGCGUCGACGGGUAGCCGGCCUGAGAGGGUGUACGGCCACAUUGGGACUGAGAUACGGCCCAGACUCCUACGGGAGGCAGCAGUGGGGAAUAUUGCACAAUGGGCGCAAGCCUGAUGCAGCGACGCCGUGUGGGGGAUGACGGCCUUCGGGUUGUAAACUCCUUUCGCUAGGGACGAAGCGCAAGUGACGGUACCUGGAGAAGAAGCACCGGCUAACUACGUG
rnacentral:rRNA from 1 species